rnacentral:rRNA from 1 species
UGGGGAAUUUUCCGCAAUGGGCGCAAGCCUGACGGAGCAAUACCGCGUGAGGGAGGAAGGCUUUUGGGUUGUAAACCUCUUUUCUCAAGGAAGAAGAUCUGACGGUACUUGAGGAAUCAGCAUCGGCUAACUCCGUGCCAGCAGCCGCGGUAAUACGGAGGAUGCAAGCGUUAUCCGGAAUGAUUGGGCGUAAAGCGUCUGCAGGUGGCUAUGCAAGUGGGGUGUGAAAGCCGCCAGCUCAACUGGCGGAGGCCAUCCCAAACUGCGUCACUUGAGGCCUGUAGAGGUAUGUGGAAUUGCCGGUGUAGUGGUGAAAUGCGUAGAGAUCGGCAGGAACACCCAGGGGGAAGCCAGCAUACUGGACAGGUCCUGACACUCAGGUGCGACAGCGUGGGGAGCGAACCGGAUUAGAUACCCGUGUAGUCC